AUACAGAGGUCUCAAGCGUUGUUCGGAUUCAUUGGGCGUAAAGGGUGCGUAGGCGGCGCGGUAAGUCGGGUGUGAAAUCUCGGAGCUUAACUCCGAAACUGCGUUCGAUACUGCCGUGCUUGAGGACUGGAGAGGAGACUGGAAUUUACGGUGUAGCGGUGAAAUGCGUAGAUAUCGUAAGGAAGACCAGUGGCGAAGGCGGGUCUCUGGACAGUUCCUGACGCUGAGGCACGAAGGCCAGGGGAGCAAACGGGA
rnacentral:rRNA from 1 species